UACGAAGGGGGCUAGCGUUGCUCGGAAUUACUGGGCGUAAAGCGCACGUAGGCGGCUCUUUAAGUCGGGGGUGAAAUCCUGGAGCUCAACUCCAGAACUGCCUUCGAUACUGGCAAUCUCGAGUCCGGAAGAGGUUGGUGGAACAGCUAGUGUAGAGGUGAAAUUCGUAGAUAUUAGCUAGAACACCAGUGGCGAAGGCGGCCAACUGGUCCGGUACUGACGCUGAGGUGCGAAAGCGUGGGGAGCAAACAGG
rnacentral:rRNA from 1 species